GCACCAGGUGCGCCUGCGGGCCGCGCGCGAACACCGCCACGUCCUCGCCGCCGUGGGUCUCGGACUGCAGGGGCACCGCGGCCUGCUGCUGAUGGGGAAAGGGAGAGUCGGAGCAGUUUCUGCCACAUAACUGAGGAAACCCUGCCACCCUCCUGGGCCUACCGAAAAUGGAGCUGCCUCGAAGCGUGUAGCCACCGAAAGAGAAGACGUGGGAGUGGUCAGCGGUGACAAGGGUCAGAGUGUCCUUCUCGCUCGUGAGCUGGCUGGCCUUGUCGAUGGCAGAAUCGAACAUCACGGCCUCCGUCAGUGCCAGAUAAGCCCUGCCGUCGUGAUGACCGUGGUCGAUGCGGCCUCCUGCGGGCAGGGCGCGUGGAAGGUGGACGAUGCCCGGCCCGCCCCGGCCAUUCCCACUUUCGUGCUCCGCAAGGGGCUGCCUGCCACGCACCCUCCACAAACAGGUAGAAGCCCCGGGGGUUCCUCCUCAGCAGGUGCAGGGCCGCCUCCGUCAUCUCCAUCAGGGAUGGGUCCCGGGUGUGGUUUCGGUGGACCUCGUAUUUCGUGUCUCCUGGCUCAAAGAGGCCUGUGGGGAAGGGGGCCGGUGGUGACGGGUAGGCCGGGGAGUGGGUGUGAACAUCUGGGCGCACGCUUGGCCCUCUGAGGACCCGGGAGGCCAGGGCGGGAACGUGGGGGUGGCUGGGGUCAUUACCCAUGAGGUGUGUUACGGAGGGGUCCUGGGAAGCCUGAAGGAGCGCCUGGCGGUUCCACACGUACCGGGCACCCUGGGGGGGGGGGGCGGGGAGGGUGCAGAGCCAGGCCUCAGUCCACAGCCCUCGGAUCCGUGUCCCUCUCGUGCCCCGUGCACCUCUGGGCCCCCAUCACCUGGUGCCUGGCCUGCCACUCCUGCACCAGGUUGCGCCCAUCCAACCUGAUUCCGUUCUGUGUGGCGUCACUCGGAUACUCAGGGUCUGGCGUCCCCUUGGGAAACAUGUACUUUCGGCCUCCGCCCAGGAUCACCUGUAGCCAAAGGAUUAGGCAGGUGGGCGUGGGGCCCGGCUGGCCCCUCGCUCCCUCCUCAGAGAGCCCCACGCUCCCCUUUCAGGCCUGUGGGUGUGGCCUGUCCCUGGCGGUCCCUCCUUCGCCACCUCGGGCCCCACCCCAAGCUCCGGGAGACCCUGCCAGGCCCCAGAGCCGAGGUCCUCAGUUGCCUGGGACUGUGGCCGGUGGAGACACGCCCCCCCCCCCUCCCGUCCCCCUGCUUGCCCUUCGCGGCUCACAUCAAUGUCCACGUUGGAGAUGAGCUGCUGGGCGAUGUCCUGGCACCCCUCCUUCCGGGCCUUGGCGGGCAUGUCCGCGUCUGAGUACCAGUUGCGGUUGACCACGUGCGCGUAGGUGCCGGCUGGCGAGGCGUGCUGCACUCUUGUGGUGGUCACCACCCCCACGGACUUCCCUGAGGGUGGCCGAGCUCAGGGUGAGCCCCCGAGGUCUCUGAUCCUGCCCCUGCCCGCUAAGCCGGCCCCAAGCCCACCUGCUUUCUUGGCCCGGUACAUCACGGAGACGACCUCGUUGCCCUGUGUUGUGUUGCACCGGUCAAAGCGGGCAGCUGCACUCAGUCCAAUGGUCUGGUAGUUGGCCUUGACCCCGCACAGGUAGGCUGUGGCUGUGCCUGCGCUAUCUGGCACCUGUCUGUCCACGUUGUAUGUCUGGGGACAGAGACACCCUCAGCUCCCCUCUGGCUCCAUCAGAUACCCGAGAUCCUGACCCAAGCCCAGGGGCCCACCCUCGCCACCCUGGUCCCCAAACUCCGGCCCCAAGCCUCCUGGGCCUUCCCUCCUGUCGCACUCCUGGGCACCCGCCCCCCUUCUGGUGGGGAGCACCCCGAGGCCACCCAGCCCUUACCUUGGACAGAGCCACAUACGGAAAGUGGUCCAUGGCCAGGGGCGUCUCGGGUCCCAGUUUGUUAUUAAUUUGCCCUUUUAGGAUCCGAGUGGCUGUCACCGUGGGCACCCCCAUCCCUGAAGGAGCACACUUUGUCAGGCCCGAGUCCCCAGGGCUGGUCUGUGUCCACUGGCAGCCUUGGGGACGAGGGUUGUGGGAGCCACAGGGGGUGGACAGGCCUUGACACUCACCGUCCCCCAAGAAGAGAAUGAGGUUCUUAGCAGCCGUCUGGAUGGGCUUCAGCUUCUUAGCGGCAUCCAGGGCUUGGGCUGCCUGGCGGUUCCAGAAGGCUGGGUCCUCCUCCUCAACUGGCCAAGGGGAGAGUGGAAGCCAGGUCAGUCUUGGGGGAGUGUCCUAUACAUGGGGGGCAGCCGGGAGGUGCCUCAUUACCUGGGAUGGUGCCAAGGGACAGCUGUGGCCUCAGGCCCAGCAGCAGAAGCAGCACCCAGGCUCCCUGCAUGCCUGUGGGAUGGUGGGAGGGCUGCAAGGCCAGGACUCCGGGGAGGCUGGGACCCUGGGGGAGCCAGAACGUGGGUACCAGCCGCAGUACAAGCCGCCCGGGUUUAAGUCAGGGGAGAACUUUGUUCCUGGUUGUAAAAGGCUCCAUGUCCCUCCCAUUGUCCCAGGUGGCCACGCUGACCCCGCCCCCGCCCUGUGACUUUAAGUCACGCUGGUAGAAGGCAAGUGGCAGGGCGUGGCUGGGCAAGCCUCAAGGCCGGGGUCCUGGAAAAGGCAGGUCUGUCCAGCACGGGAUGGUCCCAGCAGUCUCCCUAGGGUGGGUGGGGUUGAGGGGGCACAUCUCCUUUGGGUGAAAGGCACCCCGACAGGGGCCACUCCCGGCCCUUGGCUCAUACAGACUUGUGGGAGCACUGUUGCUCCUUCGUUCACCUCACUUGUUCAGUGUUUUCUGAGAGCCAGCUUUGGACAGGCUCGGUUCUGGGUGCUAAGGGAGGUGGGGUGUGAGGCACACAGCCUGGGCCAGGGGCCUGGGUUUGGCCUCCUGAGGCCGUGAGGCCCUGAGACACGGGAAAGGAGGCACGUGGGGGUGGCCUGGCUUCUGACCAGGACUGGUGUGGGCAGGUGGGGAGGGUGCUGGGCUCAGAGGGUGCCCAGGAGACUAGACCCAGAGUCCCUUGUGCUGUGGAAAAGGGUGGGGCUAGUGGUGACAGAGUGGAACCUCAUUUCUGUGUCCAAUUACGGGCCAGCCUUGUGGGGCUCUCGCGUGUGCGUGCAUGUGUGUGGGGCAGGCAGGGCUGGGGACCCAGUGUACGUGAGGCUGACCUCUGCUCCCUUGGACAGGCAGAGAGGACCCAGGGGUGAGUUUCUUCUCUCCACGGGCAACGAAUACCCACAGGUAUGGCAUCUGAUAAGGAACAAAGAGGUUUCCGUGACCAGACCGGUUCAAAAGCAUUCCUCCAAUCCAGCGACCGCACGUCUGGGUGUAUAUCCAAAAGAUUUGAAAGCAAGGUCUGGAAGAGAGAUUUGCACCGCCAUGUUCAUAGCUGCCUUGUUCACAGUAGCGAAAAGGUGGAAGAGAUUCAAGUGUCUAUCAUGAGAUGAACGUAUGAACAAGACGUUGUCCGUCCACGUAAGGGGAUAUUAUUCAGCCUUAAAAAGGCAGGGAAUCCUGUCACACGCUGCAACAUGGAUGAGCCCUCAGGGUGUGAUGCUAAGUGAAAUAGGCCAGUCACUGAAGGGCAAACGCUGUGUGAUUCUACUUAGACGAGGCAUCUCAAGUCGUCAAAUGCAUAGAACUGGUUGCCAGGGCCCAGGAGGAGGAGGCCGGGGGAGGAGGUGUUUAGUGGGAACAGAGUUUCAGUUUUGAAGAUGAAAACCUCCCGGAGAGCUGCUGUCCGACAGCCACAGCCCGCAUUCACUCUACUGAGCCAGGCACUUACAAGUGGUUACGAUGGGAAGAAUCUAAGACAGCCGACAGGACUGACGGGAAUUUCUGUCCCUGCCCGAAGACUCCCCUUCCUGGUUCUUCUUCCUGCCAAAUUACUACUAAUGCUGAAUGCAGAAAUAACAGACUCUAAAUUGUCCCCCAUGCUUACUUACGCUCAGGACUCAGACCUCUGGAGAGUGAUCUCCUCUGAGCCCGCUGGUGUGAAAUAAACCUCCUGCCUUCCAAGA